UUAAGCGACUAAGCGUACACGGUGGAUGCCCUGGCAGUCAGAGGCGAUGAAGGACGUGCUAAUCUGCGAAAAGCGUCGGUAAGGUGAUAUGAACCGUUAUAACCGGCGAUGUCCGAAUGGGGAAACCCAGUGCAAUUCGUUGCACUAUCGUUAACUGAAUACAUAGGUUAACGAGGCGAACCGGGGGAACUGAAACAUCUAAGUACCCCGAGGAAAAGAAAUCAACCGAGAUUCCCCCAGUAGCGGCGAGCGAACGGGGAGCAGCCCAGAGUCUGAAUCAGCUUGUGUGUUAGUGGAACGGUCUGGAAAGUCCGACGGUACAGGGUGAUAGUCCCGUACACCAAAAUGCACAGGCUGUGAACUCGAAGAGUAGGGCGGGACACGUGGUAUCCUGUCUGAAUAUGGGGGGACCAUCCUCCAAGGCUAAAUACUCCUGACUGACCGAUAGUGAACCAGUACCGUGAGGGAAAGGCGAAAAGAACCCCGGCGAGGGGAGUGAAAAAGAACCUGAAACCGUGUACGUACAAGCAGUGGGAGCACCUUCGGGUGUGACUGCGUACCUUUUGUAUAAUGGGUCAGCGACUUAUAUUCUGUAGCAAGGUUAACCAUAUAGGGGAGCCGCAGGGAAACCGAGUCUUAACUGGGCGUUAAGUUGCAGGGUAUAGACCCGAAACCCGGUGAUCUAGCCAUGGGCAGGUUGAAGGUUGGGUAACACUAACUGGAGGACCGAACCGACUAAUGUUGAAAAAUUAGCGGAUGACUUGUGGCUGGGGGUGAAAGGCCAAUCAAACCGGGAGAUAGCUGGUUCUCCCCGAAAGCUAUUUAGGUAGCGCCUCGUGAAUUCAUCUUCGGGGGUAGAGCACUGUUUCGGCUAGGGGGUCAUCCCGACUUACCAACCCGAUGCAAACUACGAAUACCGAAGAAUGUUAUCACGGGAGACACACGGCGGGUGCUAACGUCCGUCGUGAAGAGGGAAACAACCCAGACCGCCAGCUAAGGUCCCAAAGUCAUGGUUAAGUGGGAAACGAUGUGGGAAGGCACAGACAGCCAGGAUGUUGGCUUAGAAGCAGCCAUCAUUUAAAGAAAGCGUAAUAGCUCACUGGUCGAGUCGGCCUGCGCGGAAGAUGUAACGGGGCUAAACCAUGCACCGAAGCUGCGGCAGCGACACUAUGUGUUGUUGGGUAGGGGAGCGUUCUGUAAGCCUGCGAAGGUGACCUGUGAGGGUUGCUGGAGGUAUCAGAAGUGCGAAUGCUGACAUAAGUAACGAUAAAGCGGGUGAAAAGCCCGCUCGCCGGAAGACCAAGGGUUCCUGUCCAACGUUAAUCGGGGCAGGGUGAGUCGACCCCUAAGGCGAGGCCGAAAGGCGUAGUCGAUGGGAAACAGGUUAAUAUUCCUGUACUUGGUGUUACUGCGAAGGGGGGACGGAGAAGGCUAUGUUAGCCGGGCGACGGUUGUCCCGGUUUAAGCAUGUAGGCUGGUUAUCCAGGCAAAUCCGGAUAAUCAAGGCUGAGGUGUGAUGACGAGGCACUACGGUGCUGAAGUAACAAAUGCCCUGCUUCCAGGAAAAGCCUCUAAGCAUCAGGUAACAUCAAAUCGUACCCCAAACCGACACAGGUGGUCAGGUAGAGAAUACCAAGGCGCUUGAGAGAACUCGGGUGAAGGAACUAGGCAAAAUGGUGCCGUAACUUCGGGAGAAGGCACGCUGGUGUGUAGGUGAAGCCCCUGCGGGUGGAGCUGAGACCAGUCGAAGAUACCAGCUGGCUGCAACUGUUUAUUAAAAACACAGCACUGUGCAAACACGAAAGUGGACGUAUACGGUGUGACGCCUGCCCGGUGCCGGAAGGUUAAUUGAUGGGGUUAUCCGUAAGGAGAAGCUCUUGAUCGAAGCCCCGGUAAACGGCGGCCGUAACUAUAACGGUCCUAAGGUAGCGAAAUUCCUUGUCGGGUAAGUUCCGACCUGCACGAAUGGCGUAAUGAUGGCCAGGCUGUCUCCACCCGAGACUCAGUGAAAUUGAACUCGCUGUGAAGAUGCAGUGUACCCGCGGCAAGACGGAAAGACCCCGUGAACCUUUACUAUAGCUUGACACUGAACAUUGAGCCUUGAUGUGUAGGAUAGGUGGGAGGCUUUGAAGCGUGGACGCCAGUCUGCGUGGAGCCAACCUUGAAAUACCACCCUUUAAUGUUUGAUGUUCUAACGUUGGCCCCUGACCGGGGUUGCGGGACAGUGUCUGGUGGGUAGUUUGACUGGGGCGGUCUCCUCCCAAAGCGUAACGGAGGAGCACGAAGGUUAGCUAAUCCUGGUCGGACAUCAGGAGGUUAGUGCAAUGGCAUAAGCUAGCUUGACUGCGAGCGUGACGGCGCGAGCAGGUGCGAAAGCAGGUCAUAGUGAUCCGGUGGUUCUGAAUGGAAGGGCCAUCGCUCAACGGAUAAAAGGUACUCCGGGGAUAACAGGCUGAUACCGCCCAAGAGUUCAUAUCGACGGCGGUGUUUGGCACCUCGAUGUCGGCUCAUCACAUCCUGGGGCUGAAGUAGGUCCCAAGGGUAUGGCUGUUCGCCAUUUAAAGUGGUACGCGAGCUGGGUUUAGAACGUCGUGAGACAGUUCGGUCCCUAUCUGCCGUGGGCGCUGGAGAAUUGAGGGGGGCUGCUCCUAGUACGAGAGGACCGGAGUGGACGCAUCACUGGUGUUCGGGUUGUCAUGCCAAUGGCACUGCCCGGUAGCUAAAUGCGGAAGAGAUAAGUGCUGAAAGCAUCUAAGCACGAAACUUGCCCCGAGAUGAGUUCUCCCUGAGACUUUAAGUCUCCUGAAGGAACGUUAAAGACGAUGACGUUGAUAGGCCGGGUGUGUAAGCGCAGCGAUGCGUUGAGCUAACCGGUACUAAUGAACCGUGAGGCUUAACCUU
rnacentral:rRNA from 1 species